rnacentral:rRNA from 1 species
GACGAACGCUGGCGGCGUGCUUAACACAUGCAAGUCGAACGGAAAGGCCCUGCUUUUGUGGGGUGCUCGAGUGGCGAACGGGUGAGUAACACGUGAGUAACCUGCCCUUGACUUUGGGAUAACUUCAGGAAACUGGGGCUAAUACCGGAUAGGAGCUCCUGCUGCAUGGUGGGGGUUGGAAAGUUUCGGCGGUUGGGGAUGGACUCGCGGCUUAUCAGCUUGUUGGUGGGGUAGUGGCUUACCAAGGCUUUGACGGGUAGCCGGCCUGAGAGGGUGACCGGCGACAUGGGGACUGAGAUACGGACCAGUAGGCUACGGGAGGCAGUAGUGGGGAAUAUUGCACAAUGGGCGGAAGCCUGAUGCAGCAACGCCGCGUGCGGGAUGACGGCCUUCGGGUUGUAAACCGCUUUCGCAUGUGACGAAGCGUGAGUGACGGUAAUGGGUAAAGAAGCACCGGCUAACUACGUG